CAGCAGCCACGGUAAUACGGAGGAUCCAAGCGUUAUCCGGAAUCAUUGGGUUUAAAGGGUCCGUAGGCGGUCUUGUAAGUCAGUGGUGAAAGCCCAUCGCUCAACGGUGGAACGGCCAUUGAUACUGCAGGACUUGAAUUAUUGGGAAGUAACUAGAAUAUGUAGUGUAGCGGUGAAAUGCUUAGAGAUUACAUGGAAUACCAAUUGCGAAGGCAGGUUACUACCAAUUGAUUGACGCUGAUGGACGAAAGCGUGGGUAGCGAACAGGAUUAGAUACCCGUGUAGUCCCUGUCUCUUAUAA
rnacentral:rRNA from 1 species